rnacentral:rRNA from 1 species
AUUGAACGCUGGCGGCAUGCCUUACACAUGCAAGUCGGACGAGUGGCGCACGCGUGAGUUAUGCAUCGGAACGUACCGAGUAAUGGGGGAUAACUGUCCGAAAGGACAGCUAAUCCCGCAUAUUAUUCGAGCGGCCGAUGUCUGAUUAGCUGGUUGGCGGUGUAAAGGCCCACCAGGGCGACGAUCAGUAGCUGGUCUGAGAGGAUGUUCCACCACACUGGAACUGAGACACGGCCCAGAAUCCUACGGGGGGCAGCAGUGGGGAGUUUUGGACAAUGGGGGCAACCCUGAUGCAGCCAUGCCGCGUGUCUGAAGCAGGACUUCGGGUGAGAAAGGACUUUUGUCAGGGAAGCGGUACCUGAUGAAUAAGCACCGGCUAACUACGUGCCAGCAGCCGCGGUAAUUC